AUGGAAAAUAAAAAUAAAAUGUAUGUGAAAAAAGUUGUAAAUAUAUAUAUAUACAGGACACGACAAGACGAGGACAAAAGACGUCUGAACUGCUAUGCGAUCUUGGAGAGAGAGAGAGAUAUCCCCUGUGUCCCUUUCUCAUAUCCCCUGUGUCCCUUUCUCAUAUCCCCUGUGUCCCUUUCUCAUAUCCCCUGUGUUCCUUUCUCAUAUCCCCUGUGUCCCUUUCUCAUAUCCCGCUGUGUCCCUUUCUCAUAUUCCCUGUGUCCCCUUCUCAUAUCCCCUGUGUCCCUUUCUCAUAUCCCCUGUGUCCAUUUCUCAUAUCCCCUGUGUCCCUUUCUCAUAUCCCCUGUGUCCCUUUCUCAUAUCCCGCUGUAUCCCUUUCUCAUAUCCAGCCGUAUCCCUUUUCUCAUACCCCGCUGUGUCCCUUUCUCAUAUCCCGCUGUGUCCCUUUCUCAUAUCCAGCUGUGUCCCUUUCUCAUAUCCAGCCGUAUCCCUUUCUCAUAUCCCACCGUGUCCCCUUCUCAUAUCCCCUGUGUCCCUUUCUCAUAUCCCCUGUGUCCCUUUCUCACAUACCCUGUGCCCCUUUCUCACAUACCCUGUGUCCCUUUCUCAUAUCCCGCUGUGUCCCUUUCUCAUAUUCCCUGUGUCCCUUUCUCAUAUCCCGCCGUGUCCCUUUUUCAUAUCCCGCCGUGUCCCUUUCUCAUAUCCCCUGUGUCCCUUUCUCAUAUCCCGCCGUGUCCCUUUCUCAUAUCCCCUGUGUCCCUUUCUCAUAUCUCCUGUGUUCCUUUCUCAUAUACCCUGUGUCCCUUUCUCAUAUCCCGCUGUGUCCCCUUCUCAUAUCCCCUGUGUCCCUUUCUCAUAUCCCCUGUGUCCCUUUCUCAUAUCCCAUGUGUCCCUUUCUCAUAUCCCCUGUGUCCCUUUCUCAUAUCCCGCUGUCCCUUUCUCAUAUCCCCUGUGUCCCUUUCUCAUAUCCCCUGUGUCCCUUUCUCAUAUCCCAUGUGUCCCUUUCUCAUAUCCCCUGUGUCCCUUUCUCAUAUCCCGCUAUCCCUUUCUCAUAUCCCGCCGUAUCCCUUUCUCAUAUACCCUGUGUCCCUUUCUCAUAUCCCGCUGUAUCCCUUUCUCAUAUCCAGCCGUAUCCCUUUUCUCAUACCCCGCUGUGUCCCUUUCUCAUAUCCCGCUGUGUCCCUUUCUCAUAUCCAGCUGUGUCCCUUUCUCAUAUCCAGCCGUAUCCCUUUCUCAUAUCCCACCGUGUCCCCUUCUCAUAUCCCCUGUGUCCCUUUCUCAUAUCCCCUGUGUCCCUUUCUCACAUACCCUGUGUCCCUUUCUCACAUACCCUGUGUCCCUUUCUCAUAUCCCGCUGUGUCCCUUUCUCAUAUCCCGCUGUGUCCCUUUCUCAUAUUCCCUGUGUCCCUUUCUCAUAUCCCGCCGUGUCCCUUUUUCAUAUCCCGCCGUGUCCCUUUCUCAUAUCCCCUGUGUCCCUUUCUCAUAUCCCGCCGUGUCCCUUUCUCAUAUCCCCUGUGUCCCUUUCUCAUAUCUCCUGUGUUCCUUUCUCAUAUACCCUGUGUCCCUUUCUCAUAUCCCGCUGUGUCCCUUCCUCAUAUCCCGCUGUGUCCCUUUCUCAUAUUCCCUGUGUUCCCCUUCUCAUAUCCCCUGUGUCCCUUUCUCAUAUCCCCUGUGUCCCUUUCUCAUAUCCCAUGUGUCCCUUUCUCAUAUCCCCUGUGUCCCUUUCUCAUAUCCCGCUGUCCCUUUCUCAUAUCCCCUGUGUCCCUUUCUCAUAUCCCCUGUGUCCCUUUCUCAUAUCCCAUGUGUCCCUUUCUCAUAUCCCCUGUGUCCCUUUCUCAUAUCCCCUGUAUCCCUUUCUCAUAUCCCGCCGUAUCCCUUUCUCAUAUACCCUGUGUCCCUUUCUCAUAUCCCCUGUGUCCCUUUCUCAUAUCCCCUGUGUCCCUUUCUCAUACCCCGCUGUGUCCCUUUCUCAUAUCCCGCUGUGUCCCUUUCUCAUAUCCCGCUGUGUCCCUUUCUCAUAUCCCGCUGUGUCCCUUUCUCAUAUCCCGCUGUGUCCCUUUCUCAUAUCCCGCCGUAUCCUUCUCUUUCUUCCCUGAGUCAAACGACUUUUGGGGAUUUUACUAUUUUCUAAUAAUGUGGCCCGAAUCAACUACUUCUAUCGGACGUAAUUUAAGGCAUUUUCAAAUAAUAUGCUUUAAAUAG
rnacentral:lncRNA from 1 species